AUGGGUGCGGCAGAGUCAUCCUCCAAGCUUGGUGGUUCCGUCCAUGACUUCGUCGUUAAGGAUGUGAGAGGAAAUGAUGUGGAGCUCAGCAGAUACAAGGGGAAAGUCCUGCUUAUUGUGAAUGUCGCAUCUCGGUGUGGUCUGGCAAAUUCCAACUACACGGAGCUGGGCCAACUCUAUGAGAAAUACAGGGAGAAAGGUUUGGAGGUAUUGGCUUUCCCCUGCAAUCAGUUUGCCGGGCAGGAACCAGAUAGCGAUGAGAAGAUUGUGGAGUUUGCUUGCAAUCGCUUCCAAGCAGAGUUUCCUAUUUUUCGCAAGGUCGACGUGAAUGGCGACAAUGCUGCCCCGCUGUACAAGUUCUUGAAGUCAGAGAGAGGCGGUCUAUUCGGAGAGCGUAUCAAAUGGAACUUCACCAAGUUCCUAGUUGACAAAGAGGGGCACGUCAUGAACCGAUAUGCACCGACCUGGUCCCCACUCGGCAUUGAGAAUGACAUCAAGAAGCUGUUGGAGGUUUGA
rnacentral:rRNA from 1 species